AAUUGAACUCGCUGUGAAGAUGCAGUGUACCCGCGGCAAGACGGAAAGACCCCGUGAACCUUUACUAUAGCUUGACACUGAACAUUGAGCCUUGAUGUGUAGGAUAGGUGGGAGGCUUUGAAGUGUGGACGCCAGUCUGCAUGGAGCCGACCUUGAAAUACCACCCUUUAAUGUUUGAUGUUCUAACGUAGGCCCCUUAUCGGGGUUGCGGACAGUGUCUGGUGGGUAGUUUGACUGGGGCGGUCUCCUCCUAAAGAGUAACGGAGGAGCACGAAGGUUGGCUAAUCCUGGUCGGACAUCAGGAGGUUAGUGCAAUGGCAUAAGCCAGCUUGACUGCGAGCGUGACGGCGCGAGCAGGUGCGAAAGCAGGUCAUAGUGAUCCGGUGGUUCUGAAUGGAAGGGCCAUCGCUCAACGGAUAAAAGGUACUCCGGGGAUAACAGGCUGAUACCGCCCAAGAGUUCAUAUCGACGGCGGUGUUUGGCACCUCGAUGUCGGCUCAUCACAUCCUGGGGCUGAAGUAGGUCCCAAGGGUAUGGCUGUUCGCCAUUUAAAGUGGUACGCGAGCUGGGUUUAGAACGUCGUGAGACAGUUCGGUCCCUAUCUGCCGUGGGCGCUGGAGAACUGAGGGGGGCUGCUCCUAGUACGAGAGGACCGGAGUGGACGCAUCACUGGUGUUCGGGUUGUCAUGCCAAUGGCACUGCCCGGUAGCUAAAUGCGGAAGAGAUAAGUGCUGAAAGCAUCUAAGCACGAAACUUGCCCCGAGAUGAGUUCUCCCUGACCCUUUAAGGGUCCUGAAGGAACGUUGAAGACGACGACGUUGAUAGGCCGGGUGUGUAAGCGCAGCGAUGCGUUGAGCUAACCGGUACUAAUGAACCGUGAGGCUUAACCUUACAA
rnacentral:rRNA from 1 species